UACAGAGGUCUCAAGCGUUGUCCGGAUUCAUUGGGCGUAAAGGGUGCGUAGGCGGCGCGGUAAGUCGGGUGUGAAAUCUCGGAGCUUAACUCCGAAACUGCAUUCGAUACUGCGGUGCUUGAGGACUGGAGAGGAGACUGGAAUUCAUGGUGUAGCAGUGAAAUGCGUAGAGAUCAUGAGGAAGACCAGUGGCGAAGGCGGGUCUCUGGACAGUUCCUGACACUGAGACACGAAGGCCAGGGGAGCAAACGGG
rnacentral:rRNA from 1 species